rnacentral:rRNA from 1 species
CCUACGGGGUGCAGCAGUCGAGAAUCAUUCACAAUGGGGGAAACCCUGAUGGUGCGACGCCGCGUGGGGGAAUGAAGGUCUUCGGAUUGUAAACCCCUGUCAUGUGGGAGCAAAUUAAAAAGAUAGUACCACAAGAGGAAGAGACGGCUAACUCUGUGCCAGCAGCCGCGGUAAUACAGAGGUCUCAAGCGUUGUUCGGAAUCACUGGGCGUAAAGGGUGCGUAGGCUGUUACGUCAGUCGUGUGUGAAAGGCGCGGGCUCAACCCGCGGACGGCACAUGAUACUGCGGGACUAGAGUAAUGGAGGGGGAAGCGGAAUUCUCGGUGUAGCAGUGAAAUGCGUAGAUAUCGAGAAGAACACUCGUGGCGAAGGCGGGUUCCUGGACAUUAACUGACGCUGAGGCACGAAGGCCAGGGGAGCGAAAGGGAUUAGAUACCCCGGUAGUC